rnacentral:rRNA from 1 species
GACGAACGCUGGCGGCGUGCUUAACACAUGCAAGUCGAACGAAGAGCGACGGAAGCUUGCUUCUAUCAAUCUUAGUGGCGAACGGGUGAGUAACGCGUAAUCAACCUGCCCUUCAGAGGGGGACAACAGUUGGAAACGACUGCUAAUACCGCAUACGAUCUAAUCUCGGCAUCGAGGAUGGAUGAAAGGUGGCCUCUACAUGUAAGCUAUCACUGAAGGAGGGGAUUGCGUCUGAUUAGCUAGUUGGAGGGGUAACGGCCCACCAAGGCGAUGAUCAGUAGCCGGUCUGAGAGGAUGAACGGCCACAUUGGGACUGAGACACGGCCCAGACUCCUACAGGAGGCAGCAGUGGGGAAUCUUCCGCAAUGGACGAAAGUCUGACGGAGCAACGCCGCGGGAGUGAUGACGGCCUUCGGGUUGUAAAGCUCUGUUAAUCGGGACGAAAGGCCUUCUUGCGAAUAGUGAGAAGGAUUGACGGUACCGGAAUAGAAAGCCACGGCUAACUACGUG